CAUAUUGAAUUAUAAAAAUGUAGGCCAAGUGCAUGAUUGUGUUCUGUUUCAUUGUGGCUGGUAUCUGUUCUCCAGUCAAUGGGUACACUCAACGUGUGUGUCAGGUUUUGAUUGACUUCAUUGAUACCUCCAAUUGUGUUUAACCCGGUCAAAUAAUAAUAUGGAUAUAUUUUGUUGACCAAUACAUCAGAAUGGUCUUUGUGUUCAAUUUGAUCUAUGAUUAUUUACUGGAAGCCACCUUUUUUUUCCAUAGUGGACUAUCAAAUUAUAGGUUCCCAAUCAGGGACUGAAAUGAAUGAGGAAAAGCCUAUGUAGACUACUUGCCAAAAGUGUACUUUUAUACCUCUUAAUCUUCCUUCUUAGAUCUAUAACCAGAUUCCUGCUAUUGCUAAGGAGGAACUAAAAUCUGUUGAAUAUCUCCAACCUGCUUCCCGAUGCUGCAAAGAGAUUGCUGAUUUUGGGACUGCGAAUCCAGAUCCGUUAAUACCAACAAAUCGAAAGAAACGACGAUCCUGUUGCUUUUGGAAAUGGCUCUGGACUUGCGAAAGCUUGUUUGUACCUGCGUAUAGCUUGUGGUCUUCUAGUACCAGAAGCCAAGCUGUUUCUGCAUUUGGAGGAUUUGCUUUAUGUGGUUAAAGCCAAACCCCAUGAUGUGUGACUCACUGAUUGUGCAAACUAAGUUGAGCCAAAGUGAUUCUCUCUGUAAAUAUUCUCAUUCUAGCAUCUCAUGUGAUUCUGAAUUUCAGUCAGAGGUUGUGAAAGAUGACUCGUUGUCAAAGGUGAGUAAUCUUGAUGAAGGUAUUGAACGACUUGGAUCCUGCAAUAAAAGUUCAUACCCGACAAUUUCCAGCUUGAAUAGGAUGUAAGCUUUUUCCCCGGAAGCAACAAGCAAAUUAUGUCUCUUUUCUACUAUUCUGUUUGCAUUUGUAAGGGGUUCACUUGAAAGUUUAGGAAUAAUAGUACAUGACAAAGGAAUUUAUUUUAAAUU